rnacentral:sRNA from 1 species
CAGACACCAUUUGCUUUUCACUCAAGAUGAUUUGAUGUCUUAUAAAACUCUGGUGAACCAUGAUGGCUACACAGACAUUAAGUAUAGACAGCUAUCAAGAUGGGCAACAGAUGCAAGUAGUAACAGAGUUAAAGACAGAACAAGAUCCAAACUGCUCUGAACCCGAUGCAGAAGGAGUGAGCCCUCCCCCUGUGGAGUCUCAGACCCCGAUGGAUGUGGACAAGCAGGCCAUUUAUAGGCAUCCACUAUUUCCAUUAUUAGCUUUGUUGUUUGAAAAAUGUGAACAAUCUACACAGGGCUCUGAAGGCACAACUUCUGCCAGUUUUGAUGUAGACAUCGAAAAUUUUGUAAGAAAGCAAGAGAAGGAAGGGAAACCUUUCUUUUGUGAAGAUCCAGAAACUGACAAUUUAAUGGUAAAAGCAAUCCAGGUUUUGCGCAUUCAUCUUCUUGAGCUGGAAAAGGUUAACGAACUCUGCAAAGAUUUCUGCAGUCGAUACAUUGCUUGUCUAAAAACAAAAAUGAACAGUGAAACUCUGCUGAGUGGAGAGCCUGGAAGCCCGUACUCACCGGUGCAGUCCCAGCAGAUUCAAAGUGCCAUUACAGGCACCAUCAGCCCUCAAGGAAUUGUGGUGCCGGCGUCUGCACUACAGCAGGGAAACGUAGCCAUGGCGACAGUGGCAGGUACGAUGACAGAAAAAUGGACACACUCUCCAUGAGUUUUUGCAGAAAAUGGUCCUGUGUGUUAGAAUGACAGUAUAAAUAUAAUUUCAAGUUAAUGCCAUUUUCUAAUAUAGCAAUGUUAGAAGCUAGAGGUCUCUGAAUACCUCCUUCUUGUUAAUACUCAAUAACAGAUAUUUUAUGCAGAUUGUGUUUCUUUGUUUCUCUACCAAAAAUAUAUUGGAAAGAAAAAAGGUUUUAUGUAGGAGUUGAAAAUAUACACCAAAAACCAGUUGUCAUUUUCAGAUAACAUAGUUUUUUAUUGUACUUUUAAUAGCACCAUGAAAAUCUUAAGUUUUAUAAUUAAUUGAUGACAAAUAAAAAUGCAGUCUUAGCAUUGGUAUUACUUGUAGAACAAAAACCAUUAUAGGAAAGGACACAUUCCAGAGUUCCCUGGUGCGUAGAGAACAUUGAAAACACAAAGCAUCAUGGAAAUGGGACACAGCGACGAGGGAGGGGUAGAAAUUUACACCAAAGACCUCACAUAAUAGCACAAAGGGAAACCUCAGUGGGGAAAAAAAACCACCGUUGAUCCAAAAAUGUAACUAGAAUAAAAUAGUUAUUAUUUGGUACCCUUGGCCAAAUCCUUAACGUGCUAAUUUUAGGAAAAAGUAGAAAGCAGAGGCUAGCAAAAGGAAGGGAGCCCUCACACCCCAGGUCAGUUAGUGGUGUGUGAGCCGGGCUGUGUGGGCUGCCAGGCACAUAAUGCCUGCCCACCUGCCCACCAACUGCUGCAGGUGCCCGAGUAGCCCACCCAGGGAGUUUGUUUUGAUACUUUAUAGUGACAAGUCAACUGGCAAAGGAUUGUUGAUCUUUUGAAAUGAUCAAAAAGCUCAUCAAACUAGGGAUUUUAUUCCUUUUGUAAGUAUAUCAAGAAGAGGGCUAGUCGCAGUGCCUCACAUCUGUAAUCCCAGCACUUUGGGAGGCCAAAGUGGGAGGAUCAGUUGAAGCCAGGAGUUAGAGACCAGCCUGGGCAACAAAGCAAUGUCCCUGUCUCUACAAAA